GACAGAGGGUGCAAACGUUGUUCGGAAUUACUGGGCGUAAAGCGCGUGUAGGCGGCUAUGCAAGUCGGAUGUGAAAGCCCACGGCUCAACCGUGGAAGUGCAUCCGAAACUGCAUGGCUCGAGUCUCGGAGAGGAAGGUGGAAUGCUUGGUGUAGAGGUGAAAUUCGUAGAUAUCAAGCAGAACACCUGCGGCGAAGGCGGCCUUCUGGACGAUGACUGACGCUGAGACGCGAAAGCGUGGGGAGCAAACAGG
rnacentral:rRNA from 1 species